rnacentral:misc_RNA from 1 species
AACGCACAUUGCGCCCGCCAGUAUUCUGGCGGGCAUGCCUGUUCGAGCGUCAUUACAACCCUCAGGCCCCCGGGUCUGGCGUUGGGGAUCGGCGGAAGCCCCCUGUGGGCACAACGCCGUCCCCCAAAUACAGUGGCGGUCCCGCCGCAGCUUCCAUUGCGUAGUAGCUAACACCUCGCACCGGAUAGCGACGCGGUCCACGCCGUAAAACCCCCAAUUUUUAAUGGUUGACCUCGGAUCAGGUAGGGAUACCCGCUGAACUUAA